CCCCGUGGACGACCAUGCGGUGAGCCAAUUUUCGGCGGGACGACCCGC
rnacentral:ncRNA from 1 species